rnacentral:rRNA from 1 species
AUUGAACGCUGGCGGCAGGCCUAACACAUGCAAGUCGAGCGGAUGAAGGGAGCUUGCUCCUGGAUUCAGCGGCGGACGGGUGAGUAAUGCCUAGGAAUCUGCCUGGUAGUGGGGGAUAACGUCCGGAAACGGGCGCUAAUACCGCAUACGUCCUGAGGGAGAAAGUGGGGGAUCUUCGGACCUCACGCUCUCAGAUGAGCCUAGGUUGGAUUAGCUAGUUGGUGGGGUAAAGGCCUACCAAGGCGACGAUCCGUAACUGGUCUGAGAGGAUGAUCAGUCACACUGGAACUGAGACACGGUCCAGACUCCUACGGGAGGCAGCAGUGGGGAAUAUUGGACAAUGGGCGAAAGCCUGAUCCAGCCAUGCCGCGUGUGUGAAGAAGGUCUUCGGAUUGUAAAGCACUUUAAGUUGGGAGGAAGGGCGGUAAGUUAAUACCUUGCUGUUUUGACGUUACCAACAGAAUAAGCACCGGCUAACUUCGUG